rnacentral:rRNA from 1 species
AACGAACGCUGGCGGCAUGCCUAACACAUGCAAGUCGAACGACACCUUCGGGUCUUGUGCCUCACGGGUACGUAAGGCGGGGGAACCUGCCCUUAGGUUCGUAAUAACUCGCCGAAAGUGGUCCGAAGACCGGAUAAUUUCUUCGGCCCAAAGAUUUAGCGAGUUUGGAGGGGCCCGCGUUGGAUUAGCUAGUUGGUAGGGUAAAAGCCUACCAAGGCGACGAUCCGUAUCUGGUCAGAGAGGAUGAUCAGCCACACUGGGGCUGAGAAACGGCCCAGAAUCCUACGGGAGGCAGCAGUGGGGAAUCUAGGACUGCGGGGGAUAGCAUGAUGCAGCUCUGGCGGGUGAGUGCUGAAGGCCUUAGGGUUGUACUGCUCUCUUACCCGGGAUGAUAAUGACAGUACCGGGAGAAUAAGCUCCGGCUAACUACGUG